rnacentral:rRNA from 1 species
GUGGGGAAUAUUGCACAAUGGGGGAAACCCUGAUGCAGCAACGCCGCGUGAAGGAAGAAGGUUUUCGGAUCGUAAACUUCUAUCAAUAGGGACGAAUAAAUGACGGUACCUAAAUAAGAAGCCCCGGCUAACUACGUGCCAGCAGCCGCGGUAAUACGUAGGGGGCAAGCGUUAUCCGGAAUUACUGGGUGUAAAGGGAGCGUAGGCGGCAUGGUAAGCCAGAUGUGAAAGCCCGAGGCUUAACUUCGAGGAUUGCAUUUGGAACUAUCAGGCUAGAGUACAGGAGAGGAAAGCGGAAUUCCUAGUGUAGCGGUGAAAUGCGUAGAUAUUAGGAAGAACACCAGUGGCGAAGGCGGCUUUCUGGACUGAAACUGACGCUGAGGCUCGAAAGCGUGGGGAGCAAACAGGAUUAGAUACCCUAGUAGUCC